GGGCCCGUAGCUCAGGGGUAGAGCAGCCGGCUCAUAACCGGUCGGUCGCAGGUUCGAACCCUGCCGGGCCCA
rnacentral:tRNA from 1 species